UACGGGAGGCAGCAGUGGGGAAUAUUGCACAAUGGGCGCAAGCCUGAUGCAGCCAUGCCGCGUGUAUGAAGAAGGCCUUCGGGUUGUAAAGUACUUUCAGUCGUGAGGAAGGUGUUAAGGUUAAUAACCUUAGCAAUUGACGUUAGCGACAGAAGAAGCACCGGCUAACUCCGUGCCAGCAGCCGCGGUAAUACGGAGGGUGCGAGCGUUAAUCGGAAUUACUGGGCGUAAAGGGCACGCAGGCGGUUAAUUAAGUUGGAUGUGAAAUCCCCGGGCUUAACCUGGGAAUGGCAUUCAAGACUGGUUAGCUAGAGUCUUGUAGAGGGGGUAGAAUUCCAUGUGUAGCGGUGAAAUGCGUAGAGAUGUGGAGGAAUACCGGUGGCGAAGGCGGCCCCCUGGACGAAAACGACUGACGCUCAUGUGCGAAAGCGUGGGGAGCAAACAGGAUUAGAUACC
rnacentral:rRNA from 1 species